AAUUUGUAUCCCAUGCCUUUCACUCUUCAUCUCUUAAACGCAUGUUCUAUAAACAGCUGGGUUCUCUGCGGUCUUUGAAAUCCUUGAAAGUCUUUAAAUUUGAAUGCAGGUCUUUAAGGUCUUUGAAAAGUCUUUGAAUUGUGUGAAAAAGCGAAGAAAGUCUUUAAAUUCUUUAGUAUUUGAUUAUACGAUUUCCUAGCUAAUAAAAUAGAUUGAUUGAAGCAAGAUUUUCGCAAAUAUCGACGAAAAGGUGCAUUUUAGGAUGUGAUUUGACGGGACUAAUUACCGGGUAAAAAUGGUACUUACACUCGCAAUUUUUCGACAGCUGAUUGCUCUCAAAGGUCUUUGAAAAGUCUUUCAAAAUAGGCAGAAAAAAUCUUUGAAAGUGUUUGAAUUUUUUUGGUCUUCGAGACUACGAACC